GACGAACGCUGGCGGCGUGCUUAACACAUGCAAGUCGAGCGGUAAGGCCCUUUCGGGGUACGACGAGCGGCGAACGGGUAGGAGUAACAACGUGGGUGGACCUCGCCCUUACGUCUCUGGGAGUAAAGCCCUGGGAAACGUAGGGUCGUAAUACCGGGAUAUGACUCCAUAACGCAUGUUGUGGGGUGGAAAGCCUUGUGCGGCUAGGGAGUGGCCCGCGGCCUAUCAGCUUGUUGGUGGGGGUGA
rnacentral:rRNA from 1 species